CCUACGGGCGGCAGCAGUGGGGAAUAUUGGACAAUGGGGGCAACCCUGAUCCAGCCAUGCCGCGUGUGUGAAGAAGGCCCUCGGGUUGUAAAGCACUUUCAGUGAGGAAGAACGCCUGGUGGUUAAUACCCAUCAGGAAAGACAUCACUCACAGAAGAAGCACCGGCUAACUCCGUGCCAGCAGCCGCGGUAAUACGGAGGGUGCGAGCGUUAAUCGGAAUUACUGGGCGUAAAGCGCGCGUAGGUGGCUUGAUAAGCCGGUUGUGAAAGCCCCGGGCUCAACCUGGGAACGGCAUCCGGAACUGUCAAGCUAGAGUGCAGGAGAGGAAGGUAGAAUUCCCGGUGUAGCGGUGAAAUGCGUAGAGAUCGGGAGGAAUACCAGUGGCGAAGGCGGCCUUCUGGACUGACACUGACACUGAGGUGCGAAAGCGUGGGUUGCAAACAGGAUUAGAUACCCGUGUAGUC
rnacentral:rRNA from 1 species